UUCACUUUAAAAAAUCAUAACUAAAUAAAUACUCAUCCAAAUAAUGUGGCGUUUUUUGCAUUAUUCUCCAUUCUGUUUCUAGUAUUUUUUUGACUAUUUUUCCAGAAAUUAUGCAUGGAUGGAAUUUAAUUUGACCUAGGGUUUGUGUAUGCAUGUCCAAUUUGUACCUUGCUUGCCAUAUGCUUUGUGAAAUGAUGAGAUUUAAUCCAAUGCUUGUGAAAU
rnacentral:lncRNA from 1 species